CACGCGGUAAACGAUGAUUACUAGGUGUAGGGGACGCAGGUCUUCUGUGCCGGAGCAAACGCAAUAAGUAAUCCGCCUGGGGAGUACGGCCGCAAGGUUGAAACUCAAAGGAAUUGACGGGGGCCCGCACAAGCAGCGGAGCAUGUUGUUUAAUUCGAAGCAACGCGAAGAACCUUACCAGGUCUUGACAUCCACUGAACCUGCCGGAAACGGUGGGGUGCCGCAAGGAACAGUGAGACAGGUGG
rnacentral:rRNA from 1 species